AACAUUCAUUGCUGUCGGUG
rnacentral:ncRNA from 3 species